CGCGUAGGUGGCAGAUCAAGUCUGGAGUAAAAGGUAUGGGCUCAACCCGUACUGGCUCUGGAAACUGAUCAGCCAGAGAACAGAAGAGGACGGCGGAACUCCAUGUGUAGCGGUAAAAUGCGUAGAUAUAUGGAAGAACACCGGUGGCGAAGGCGGCCGUCUGGUCUGGAUUCUGACACUGAAGCACGAAAGCUGGGGGAGCAAAUA
rnacentral:rRNA from 1 species